CCCGAUCAUGCUGACGGGCAGCCAAUCAAACCACAGCAUUGGUCAGGUGACCGUGUGCAGAACUUUUAGUUUCGUUUUGCUUCAUCAUUAAGAGAUGGUUCGCGUGUUGUUUCCUUCCAAAUUCCUGCUUGAGUCGUGUGCGUUAAUGACUAGAAGUAAGUGUUUAUUUAUCUUAUAUAUAUAUCACUGUUGUUGCUGCUGAUCAAGACUAGCCUCUGAGUUGUUUAUAUGAUAAAAUGAAUCACGUAAGACCCGCGGCUCCGCCCAAUCGAACUUUCGUAGAAACAGAAGUGCCUAAACCGAAUACAUUUAUUUUGAAUAGUGUAAUGUUAACCUGUUCAGGCCAUUGUGGCAUAUGGCCCAAUAGAAAUGUUAGAUUAUUAUGUGCAUGAUGAAUCUGUCAAAUGUACACUCAAUGUAUAUUGAUCUAUGCAGAGGCAUGUAUAGCUAGGUUCAUGAAUCUAAUAAGUAUAAUGAUGCACACUAUCUAUGUUUAUUGUAUUAUAGUGCUUUGUGCUUUACAUAUGUUAUGUUAUUCUAGACUCAUGUGAUUUACGCAAGUUAUUUCUUCUUUCCUUUGUUUAGACCACACAAAUAUAAACGCAAGCACCUAAGUUACCACUCAAUCCAAUGUAACCAGUGAACUUGAUGGACAUUAAAGUAAUUUAAAUGGAUUUCUGUCUCCGUGUCCUUACCGACACACCAUGGCGAUGGCCAAGUAUACCUAAGAACCAGUCCACCUUCAAUACAAAAUUGGUCCUUCGAGCCGGAUCCGGGUCAUUACCAUGGCAACCCCAGAGUCGGCGAUGUCAAAGUCUGCCCCUGCCUCAUCCCGACGUCCAAAAAGAGCAAUUCAGAGGCCUGUCUACCUAGAUGACUAUGUGGUUGACUAUGCUGAGAACCCGUCAGGACAGGCUGUUAGACCUAAAGAGAAGGUAAUGGUGACUUCAACUCCCAUCUCAUCUCACCACCCAUUUGGAAUAGCUGGAUCUUCUGAGGAUUUUAUGCUGCAAAUAAUGGAAAUUAACAGACAACAGAGCGAGACAGCUAGGCGUCAAACAGAACUCUUGGAGAAAGUCCUGCUACACAGCACUCCUCAAGCAUCUACUCACUCCUCACAAGCAUCAUCCCGACAUCAGACACCUAGAGCCCAGAUCCUGAAAUCAGUGGAGAAGGGACAGUUGAAAUCCGAUGUUAGCCCUGAUGAUGUCUGCUCAAACCGUCAUUCUUGGCCACAGCCUGCCAAACCCCAAACCCCUUUCUUUGAGGAGCUUUCACAAGUAUUGAGGAAAACACAAAUCAGGGACACUCAUUUCCAGUCACCACCUCCUGUGAGCAGAGAGAGUACCCUUUCGGCACACCAGUACGCCUCGCCAUAUUGCAGUUCUCGGUCAGACCCAACCAGAACCCGAGUGUACAACAGAGAAGAGCCCUGGAUGAAACCAUUGCCUCCUCACCCUGAACAGAGACUGAGUCAGACAACCCAGCUUCCAUUUUAUCAAGUAUCAGCCCCAGAGACCUUUCCAGUACAUAGUCAGUUUGCUUCAGAGUCUGAGCCAAUGCCAAAAACUGUGUACCCAGCUACAACAUCUCAGCUUAGAGCUGAGGCUGUACCCUACACCCCCCAUCCCUUAUCAUCAUACUGGGUUCCAACAGUAGAAGGCCCAACCUUCCCAGAUUUCAUUAAAGAAGACCGAGCCCAGUACGUGGAACUUAGAAUUGCUCUGGACAACCUGCUUCAUCCACAAUUAUCAGAGCAUUAUAAGUACUCAAUCCUUCUUAAGCAUGUGAAGGUGCCGAAUGGUCACAGGUUAGUGUUAGCACAUGCAGAGUCAGUCACGCCUUACACUAACGCCCUGCAAGCCCUUGACAGAAGGUAUGGUCGUCCCUACCAGUUCGUACUGAAGGAAAUAGAGACUUUAGAGAGCCUGCCACCUAUCCGUGCUGGUGAUGAGCAGGCAUUCGACGACUUUUCCCUCAGAGUUCAAGCAAUAGUCGGCAUGCUCAAAGCCCUAAAGGAGGACGGGAUUGAAGAACUGCACAGUGGGUCAAAUGUGAAACGUCUUCUGAAUCGUCUUCCUCGUUCACAACAAACUCAAUUCAGGAGGCAUCACCUUAAGAGAAAUCCAGAUAAGUCUAAGUUCUCCCUCCUCGAGUUUGCAGAUUGGCUGCAGCUAGAAGCUAACUGUAUGGAAUUUGACCCAACUGAUGAGAUAAGAACCACAAAACGAGAUCAACGGGUAGUAAUUCGGGGACAAAACAAACAUACCACCAUACUUCAUGGCGGGGAACAAAGACAAGUUACAGAAACAGUAACCAAACCCAAGGCAGUUCAUCCCAAAGUACCCACCAAGCCCAAAGCCAUCUGUCCGUACUGUAGUGCAGAACAUUACCUUAGCCAAUGUACCACAUUCACAGCAUUAACCAAAGAGCAAAUGGUUGGCUGGAUCAAAGACAAUAAACGGUGCUGGAAAUGUGCACGCUCCCACAUGGCCAAAGAUUGUGACCUGAAGAGGCCUUGCCACCUUUGCCAAGCCAAACACCUCUCCAUACUCCACAACAUUAACCAAAGGAAGGAUGAGGUUACCAGUGAGAGCAAUAGCCUGUACAACUCCACCACAGAAACUUUAUUCUUGGACCAACCUCGAUGUGGCGGGAAAGUGUUUCUGAAAGUAGUGAAAGUUACCAUCCAUCACCAGCACAAAACUUUAGAAACAUUUGCUGUGCUUGAUGAUGGAUCAGAGCGCACCAUUUUGCUCGCCACAGCUGCACAACACCUCGGCUUAAAGGGUAGACCAGAGCAAUUGAAUUUACGGACAGUGCAUCAAGACAUCAGGACAUUGCAUGGUACUUCGGUGAACUUUAGUUUAUCCACCCCGAAUAACCCAAGAGAAAAGUUCAACAUUGAAGGGGCCUUUACAGCAGAUGAAUUUGGGCUAGCAGAAUACAACUACCCCGUGAAUACCCUGCAGGAUAGGUACAGACACCUCAGAGGCAUACCAAUACCACCUCUGGUCAAAGCUUGUCCCUUACUGCUUAUCGGUUCAGAUCAUACUGAGCUCAUAACCCCAAUUGAGCCAGUGCGAUUGGGCCCACCUGGUGGCCCAGCCGCUGUCAGAACCCGUCUCGGCUGGACCUUGCAGGGCCCCUCCAAACAUCUUCAGGAUCAACUCCCAGUCUCGCAGUGUCUGUUCACGUCUAAUUGUUCACCUUCUGCAGAAUUGUUUCAUCAAGUUGAAAGGUUAUGGCAGAUGGACACCCUUCCUUAUCGCAGUGAAAAGACGGUGAUCAGGUCACAACAAGACCAAGAAGCACUGAACAUGCUGGAGACACAAACAGUGCGAGUGGAAGUAGAUGGAAUUGAACGAUACGCCACUCCACUUUUGAGAGUUAAAACAAUGCCUCUGUUACAUGCUCCAAAGGAUGCUGUGAUGGGCCACCUCCGUAACACUGAACGUCGGUUAGCCAAGGACCUGACAUUAGCUAACAAGUAUCAAGAAGAGAUCCAAAGACUGGAGAAAGCUGGCUACGCCACUAAAAUACCACCUCAAAAGGCAGCCCAGUCAACCGAAUCAUGGUAUCUGCCACACCAUAUUGUGACCCACAAUGGGAAACAUAGAGUGGUAUUCAACUGCUCGUACACCUUCAAUGGGGACAAUUUAAACAAGCAGUUAUUACCCGGACCUACACUGGGCCCCUCUCUUCUUGGAGUGUUAAUCCGCUUUAGAGAACAUCGAGUAGCAAUCAGUGGAGACAUAAAGGGGAUGUUCCACCAGAUUCGCUUGCUCCCCAAAGACAAACCCCUUCUAAGGUUCUUGUGGCGGGACCUAAAGCCUGGGAUCCCACCGGAUGUGUACGAGUGGCAGGUCCUUCCAUUUGGAACAACCUGUAGCCCCUGUUGUGCGACAUUUGCAGUGCAGCGACACGUUUUCACCCAUUGCCAGCAGGGUGAUAAAAUACGACAAUCAGUUGAACGCUGCUUUUAUGUUGACAACUGUUUACAGAGCACCGCAUCCUCAGUUGAAGCCCGUGAGAUAAUCGAUGGACUAAGGUCCCUACUGGCUUCAGGUGGGUUUGAAAUCCGCCAAUGGGCAAGCAAUGAGGCCUCAGUGAUUAACCAUCUCCCCAAAGAGGCUAGAUCAGAAAACACAGAGUUGUGGAUUUCCCGCAGUCAAUCAGACCCUCAAGAAAUGACCCUGGGAUUAAACUGGCAUUGCGUACCAGACACCCUACAUUACCGCCAUCGUCCUUUAUCCUACCAUGAGGUAACGAUGAGAAACAUAUACCGGGUCCUCGCCAGCCAGUACGACCCCUUGGGUUACAUGAUACCUUUCACAACUAGAGCCAAAAUUCUAGUAAGACAAUUGUGGGAGAAAGAACGAGAAUGGGAUGACCCCCUCCUUCCUUCUGAGCUGCUGCAGGCCUGGCAAAAAUGGGAAGCAGAACUGGAACACCUACCACUCAUCAUUAUACCCCGGUGUUAUGUGUCAGCCACACUAGAUGUCCCAGAGGUGGAACGAGAACUUCACAUCUUCUGUGACGCCUCUGAGGCAGCCUAUGGGUCAGUAGCAUACCUCCGUACUGAACACCAAGGUCAAGUUGAGCUGGCAUUCGUCCAUGCCAGAUCCAGAGUAUCUCCAAAAAGGCAACAAUCCAUACCUAGGCUUGAACUAUGCGCCGCCCUUACUGGAGCACAGCUGGCCAAGCUACUUCAUAAUGAGCUCUCACUGGAAAUCGGGAGCACAUUCUUGUGGAGUGACUCAACAACAGUACUCACCUGGCUGAAAUCGGAGUCCUGCAGAUUCAAAGUUUUUGUAGGAACCAGAGUAACGGAGAUACAGGAACUUACUGAAGGUCACUGUUGGCGGUAUGUGGAUUCAGAAAGGAAUGCUGCAGAUGACAUUACACGUGGCAGAACCUUGCUUGAACUAACCCAACCCAAUCGAUGGUGUAAGGGGCCAGACUUCCUUUACCUACCACCUGAAUCAUGGCCAGAAAGUCCUGCCAUUGGACUGAAUGAGGACUCUUCUGAGCUUCGUAAAGCAAAGUUUUGUGGCCUCACUGCAACCUGCGACGAUCCUGUAACACCACUGCCAGAUGCGACUCAGUUCUCAACCUUUGAGGAACUCCUGGAAGCUACCUCUAGAUCCAUGCAUGAGGCGGCGGGAAAAACAGGUGACCCAGGAACAUCGGAGUACCAGCAAGCCGAAACAAACCUAUUAAGGAGAGCCCAAUUAGACAGUUUCCCAACAGAAUAUCAAGCUCUUACAACUGGUAAGCCAAUCCCUUCAUCUAGUCGUUUGCUCACAUUGUCACCAGAGUUAGACGAAACGACUGCACUCAUCCGGGUAGGAGGACGACUACGUCAAAUUACCCACUUAAGUUACAAUACUGUACAUCCCAUAGUCUUGGACCCAAAACAUCCUAUAACUCGCCUCCUCAUUAAGCAAUUCGACACCAAACUCUGUCAUCCCGGUCCAGAAAGGGUAUUUGCAGAAAUGCGAAGAUAUUACUGGAUCCUCAGAGGGAGAGAAGCAAUAAAGCGCCAUCAACAUUCCUGCGUUGAAUGCCAAAGAUGGAGAGCCAAACCUAAUAUUCCAAAGAUGGCAGAACUUCCUCCCGCCAGAGUCCGCCUGCUGAAACCGGCCUUCUUUUCUACAGGGGUAGAUUGUUUUGGCCCAUUUCAGGUAAAACGAGGAAGGAGCAAUGAAAAGAGGUGGGGAAUCAUUUUUAAGUGCAUGACCACCCGCUGUGUCCACUUAGAUCUACUUAGUAACAUGGAUACAGACUCCUUUUUGAUGGCUCUUAGGCGCAUGGUUGCUCGACGUGGAACUCCCUCCGAAAUCCUAGCGGAUCAAGGCACUAAUUUUCGAGGAGGUGAUAAAGAGCUACAGUCAAGUUUCAAGUCCAUGAGCCCACAUCUCCAAACCCAAUUAGCGAAGCAAAGGAUACAGUUCCGGUAUAACCCCCCAAACGCCCCACAUUUCGGAGGUAUGUGGGAGCGCGAGAUCCGUUCAGUUAAAACUGCCCUACAUACCGUAGUAGGAUCUCAGAUCCUUACAGAGGAAGUCCUCCGAACAUUCCUUAUUGAAGUUGAGGGUAUACUCAAUGCAAAACCACUGGGGUAUGUCUCUUCCGAUGUAGCGGAUCCAGAUCCGGUGACCCCGAACUACCUGUUGAUGGGGCGGCCAGAUGCCUCGUUACCACAGGUGAUUUACCCAGAAUCCGAAAUUCUUAGUCGGAGAAGAUGGCGGCACUCACAAAUAUUGGCAGAUCAGUUUUGGACAAGCUUUAUCAAGAAUUACUUACCCACGCUGCAAACACGUCAAAAAUGGAUGAGUGAAUGCAGCAACCUCACACCUGGGACUGUCGUUAUGGUAGUAGACCACCAACUUCCUCGUGCUAUGUGGCCUGUCGGCGAGGUAAUAACCACAUAUCCCGGAUCGGAUGGCCGGGUCCGUUCUGCGGAGAUCAAGGUAAAGAACAAGCACUACCAUCGACCAGUGUCUCGUCUCAUCACACUACCUGCUAUCCCAGAUGAUGACCCUAAACCAGACUAACAAAGGAAAUGGAAAGUACAUUUGCCAAGCAAAUGUAGGGGCGGCUGUAGAAGAGGAGGUUAGUGGCGCCAUCUGCUGGAAGGCUUUAUUAUCCAUUCAGCAAAUACACCAACAAGCGACAUAGUGAUCAUGCUCCGAUCACGUUGUCAUGCCCCGAUCAUGCUGACGGGCAGCCAAUCAAACCACAGCAUUGGUCAGGUGACCGUGUGCAGAACUUUUAGUUUCGUUUUGCUUCAUCAUUAAGAGAUGGUUCGCGUGUUGUUUCCUUCCAAAUUCCUGCUUGAGUCGUGUGCGUUAAUGACUAGAAACCACACAAAUAUAAACGCAAGCACCUAAGUUACCACUCAAUCCAAUGUAACCAGUGAACUUGAUGGACAUUAAAGUAAUUUAAAUGGA